rnacentral:rRNA from 1 species
CUACGGGGGGCAGCAGUGGGGAAUAUUGCACAAUGGGCGCAAGCCUGAUGCAGCAACGCCGCGUGAGGGAUGAAGGCCUUCGGGUUGUAAACCUCUUUUAGCAGGGAAGAAGCGAAAGUGACGGUACCUGCAGAAAAAGCACCGGCUAACUACGUGCCAGCAGCCGCGGUAAUACGUAGGGUGCAAGCGUUGUCCGGAAUUAUUGGGCGUAAAGAGCUCGUAGGCGGUUUGUCACGUCUGCUGUGAAAAUCCAAGGCUCAACCUUGGACUUGCAGUGGGUACGGGCAGGCUAGAGUGCGGUAGGGGAGAUGGGAAUUCCUGGUGUAGCGGUGGAAUGCGCAGAUAUCAGGAGGAACACCAAUGGCGAAGGCACAUCUCUGGGCCGUAACUGACGCUGAGGAGCGAAAGCGUGGGGAGCGAGCAGGAUUAGAUACCCUUGUAGUC